UGAAGAACUUGAGCUUGAUUCAUUUGGACUAUCAAUUAUGCCUUCAAGUUUGUCGAGGAUGUACUGGAAGUAGUAUCUGAUGCUGUUGUGGUUCGCAAAGCUGCAGCGUCGCGUAUACAAAGGCUUUCAAAGGAGUGCUGAAAUGGUGACCAUAUGCUACCUUGAGGGCUCAAGAAUGUUUUGAUGCAUAGAGACACUAAUCUAUGUUAGAACUUUUAUGUUUUGGUUGAACUUUUAUGUUAGAACUUUUAUGUUUUGGUUGAACUUAUCAAUGUACUCACUAGAUAAUAUUAUUUUGUUUCAAGACAAUUUUAGCUAAAAGGAUCUUGUUUGACUUAUGUAUGUUUUUGCAUAUUAUAUACAUGUAAAC